CAUCCAACCAAAAAGUAGAAAAUACUCCAUAACCUGCUUGUGUUAUAAUUCCUACAAGUGCCUGAAUCUACUUUUAAUAUUUGAGUAUACGCACAACAGGCGAAUGAAUUGACGU